GCAGAACUUUCAGCAGCUAUAAUAACCAGCAGGCACGCAGACACAGAGGACAGACCACCAAAAAGCAAACAGCAACAAAAAACAGCUCCAAAACCAAUUACUUCCUUAAUAGACAUUCUUGUGGAUUCCAAUUCCAUUCAUAAUAUAAGCAUGUUUGCAUAUCAAGCCUAUACAAACUCCACCGCCACGAAUUAACAACAAUCUCCGACAAAAGAUCAUCCACAUGCUUCACCUCAUUUCGGAAGAUCAUAUGAUUCCUAGCUUGCCAAAUAGCCCAAAUAGUUGCAUGCCAAAUAAUCCACAACCCCUUGCGAAUCUUCUUGUUUCUCCCUUCAAUACUCCAA
rnacentral:lncRNA from 1 species